UGGGGGGGGGGGGCGUGGAGCAGUUCUCCCUGGCGCAUGCUGCUACGUGACAGAUGAGUAAUGGAGACAGCUCUCCCAUGCUCACAGCAUCAGGCCUGGCUCGCCCACACCCCUGUUCUACUGUGCUGCCCAGGCGAGGUGCAGGGUCCACUUUCCUGACUGCUGCAGCUGGGAAAGGGGAGUGUCAGCUCCCUUGCCCACCACAUGGGGAGAGGGGCGCAUCUUUCCCUUGCCCUCCCUUGACCACCACAUGGCAGACAAGGAGGGUGUGGCCAGCUCUCCCACUCUCCCACCCUCAGGGCCGUCUCCCUAGCCUCCGCCAACAGAGACUGCCUAGGUGAGGAGCCGGGCCUGCUUUCCUGAGUGCUGAGCGGCCAACAGCCAUUGACCUCAGAAAAAUGGUUGGGAGACGCAUAGAUUCUCUUCAACUUAUAAUGGGAUGAUACCUCAAUAAACUCAUCGCAAAUCAAAAAGCUUCCUUCCGGCCAUGCCUCGGAGAAAGCUUCCAGGAAGCCCACACCGGUGCCGGGGAACCAGUAACUGUCCAGAGCAAUCGAACCAUCCUUGCUUGUCAUGGGGCUGUUCAUUCCUGACCACGCCUGACAUCAGGGAGCCCCGAGCUCACACAUCAACCGUGGAUUCACAGGGAGACCGAGUGGGUACUAUCCACCCCCAGAAAGAGCUAAACCAGAAAGUACUGCCAGAAAGCACCGAGGGAACUACCCACUGAAUGUAUAAACUGGACUGAAAGGGCUCCUCGGCUUAGACUAUGAAAGAAGAC